CAACGCUGUUCGGCAUCAGCUUCCCUCCGACAAUCUUCGGGACUUCACACACUCCUCCGAGUCUACCAAAAACCACUUUAAUGGUUAACGCUGUUAAGGUCUUCAAAAAGACUUCACCUAAUGGUAAGGUCACCGCGUAUCUAAGUCGGCGGGACUUCGUGGACCACGUGAGCCACACCUCUCCCGUGGACGGUGUGGUGAUCGUGGACCAUGACUACCUGCGUGGAAGGAAAGUGUUCGCGCGCGUGGCGGUCACUUACCGCUACGGCCGCGAGGAGGAUGAAGUCAUGGGACUUCACUUCAGCAAGGAGCUCGAGCUGGUCAACAUCGAGGUCGCUCCUCAUGCUGGAGACGUCCAGAUGACCGACGUGCAGGAACGACUCAUCAAGAAGCUGGGUGCCAACGCCUACCCCAUCACCGUGAAUCUUCCGGAGAACGCCCCUUGUUCCGUCUCUCUCGACGGUGGGAGUGAGGGUUCUACUCAGCCUCUUGGUGUGAUUUACGAUCUCAAACUGUACGUUGCUGACCGCAAGGAGGAACGUCCUCACAAGCGGAACUCCGUCGGCUUUGCUGUCCGAAAGGUCCAAUACGCCUGUCCUGGCUCCAGCAACCGUCAGCCCCAGACCCUGGUUAGCAAGGGCUUCACUCUUUCUCCAGGAAGGCUCAACCUUGAGGUCACUUUGCCUCGCGACAUCUACUUCCAUGGACAGUCCAUCGAGGCACAGCUUUCCAUCAACAAUGUGUCCAAGAAGACCGUGAAGAACAUCAAGGCUGAGGUUGUGCAGCACGUGGAGGUCACCAUGACCAACACUCACUUCAGCCGAGUUGUGGCUUCACUCGAAUCUCGCGAAGGAUGUCCCAUCACCCCAGGAUGCAACCUCACCAAGACCUUCUCCCUCAACCCUGUUGCCUCUGUCAACAAGCGACGUUUCGGCAUCGCCCUCGAUGGCCAAGUCAAGGACCAGGACGCCAACCUGGCAUCCUCUACCUUGGUGGCAGAGGGUAAGAACGUCAGCGAUGCCUUGGGCAUCAUCGUGUCCUACUCUAUCCGCGUGAAGCUCAACUGCGGCGCUAUUGCCGGCGACCUGACUGCCGACCUUCCUUUCAAGCUGGUGCACCCCGAUCCUGCCUCUGUCAAGGCACCACUGCGCAAGAAUCAGUCUGCUGAUAUCGAAGUCGAGGAAUUUUCUCAGCUGCGCCGUGGUCAGUCCAUUGCUGAGGACUAAAGGAAGCAGGAGUUACACGAUGCUCAGGGAUCAGUCAAUCAUUGUCAACGAAUUCGAGUUUCAAGCAUCAGUUUAAUUGGAAGGGAAAUUGCAGUUACAAAUUCGCACACAAUUAGGUCUUUGCAUCGUACAGUUCUGUAUUAAAUGUUAGUAUUGUUAUUAAGUAUAUGUUAAGCAUACCAGCAUUAUAGCUUGAAUAUUAUAUUUUCAUGGACAUAACCAUGUAAUAUUAUUUUCUAUUGAAACUGCAAUAAAAUUUGAGAUAAAA
rnacentral:misc_RNA from 1 species